CAUUAUUUAUCGAAAAUUUAAAUGAUUUUGCUAAUAAUCCAUUACUUCGUUUAUUUCUUUCUCGUCUAAGUCAGACCUGUUUCCGAAGAAAUAUAACGCAAAUCUUGAAAACAAAUAGGUUAUUUUAGCGCGACUUUUGAAGUAUCAAUGUCACUUUAAAUUUUAUUUUGAUUUGUAUACAUUUUUGUGUAGUUAAAUUUUUCAAAAUUAUGACUUUCAGGUGGAGUUUUGUGAUUUUUGUAAUAGUUAUGUUUACUUUCAACAUCACCGAGUUUGAAUGUAGCAAAAAAGUGAACGGUAAAAAAAACAGGACAUUCCUCGACAAGCCCGCAUUUAUGAUAAUGAUGACCGAGUACCCUCUAGGCAUAUCUGAUGUAUUCGACGAUGCGAGCGACGUUUUCAGAAACAUCCUUGGCAAAAUGAUAUCUAAGAAAAAACUUGUUGGUUUGGACUCUAGCUGGAACUUAUUCUGAUGAAAAUAAAGCUUAUUUAUGAUAUUAAUGUA